UACGUAGGGCGCAAGCGUUGUCCGGAAUUAUUGGGCGUAAAGAGCUCGUAGGCGGCUUGUCACGUCGGGUGUGAAAGACCGGGGCUUAACCCCGGUUCUGCAUUCGAUACGGGCUGGCUAGAGUGUGGUAGGGGAGAUCGGAAUUCCUGGUGUAGCGGUGAAAUGCGCAGAUAUCAGGAGGAACACCGGUGGCGAAGGCGGAUCUCUGGGACAGUACUGACGCUGAGGAGCGAAAGCGUGGGGAGCGAACAGG
rnacentral:rRNA from 1 species